rnacentral:rRNA from 1 species
GAUGAACGCUGACAGAAUGCUUAACACAUGCAAGUCGAUUCAAUUUACCUUCGGGUAUUGAGGAUGGCGGACGGGUGAGUAACGCGUAAGGAACUUGCCUCUUGGUCUGGGACAACUGUUGGAAACGACAGCUAAUACCGGAUAUUAUGAGAUUCUCGCAUGGGAAACUUAUGAAAGCUAUAUGCGCCAAGAGAGAGCCUUGCGUUCCAUUAGCUAGUUGGUGGGGUAACGGCCCACCAAGGCGACGAUGGAUAGCCGGCCUGAGAGGGUGAACGGCCACAAGGGGACUGAGACACGGCCCUUACUCCUACGGGAGGCAGCAGUGGGGAAUAUUGGACAAUGGGCCACAAGCCUGAUCCAGCAAUUCUGUGUGCACGAUGAAGGUCUUCGGAUUGUAAAGUGCUUUCAGUUGGGAAGAAGAAAGUGACGGUACCAACAGAAGAAGCGACGGCUAAAUACGUGCCAGCAGCCGCGGUAAUACGUAUGUCGCAAGCGUUAUCCGGAUUUAUUGGGCGUAAAGCGCGUCUAGGCGGAAAAAUAAGUCUGAUGUUAAAAUGCGGGGCUCAACUCCGUAUUGCGUUGGAAACUGUUUUUCUAGAGUACUGNAGAGGUGGGCGGAACUACAAGUGUAGAGGUGAAAUUCGUAGAUAUUUGUAGGAAUGCCGAUGGAGAAGUCAGCUCACUGGACAGAUACUGACGCUAAAGCGCGAAAGCGUGGGGAGCAAACAGGAUUAGAUACCCUGGUAGUCCACGCCGUAAACNAUGAUCACUAG